GAAGGAAAGAUGAGUAAAGAGACAAAAAGGAUCUUUAAAGUGUCGAGGAUAAUCAGUUUAUCAGUUGCGAUCUGGAUUUUGUUAAAUGAUACAAAUCAUUUAAGCUAAAGAAUGUUAACCGCUAAAUUAACUAACCAAUGAAUGUUGACAAAUGAGAUCACAUGUUGGCGCCAUUGCCUAAAAUUGUCGAGACAAUAAAGAUGUGUUAACUGGUUUCUUCCAACAAACUAAUUUGCCUUGUUUUUCCCAUGUUAUUUGUCUUGUUUUUGUCUUGUUUUAUUAAUCAUCUCUUAAAUCUGAUUCAUCCAUUAAUCGUUUAUCAAAAUGGUUAGUUAUUAAGUUCAAAUUAGUUAAUUUGAUGUCCCAUUACCAAUGAAUGGAAUCCAGCAAGAACGGAUCAAUAAAAUUCCAUGUCAUGCAUUAUUAUCUAAAGACACGAAUUUGCUGCUUUAAUGUUUCAAAAUUCAUCAUUUUCAUCGUGAGUUAUGGAUGGGCUUUUAAAUGGAAAGAGGACAAGAUUGCGUUGGCCGGUGUUUUUGAGGAAAAAUGAACUGGUUACUUGAAUGGCCAUAAAUUACCUUGUUAAAAGUGUAAAAAAGGGUUAGCCCACCAUGAAAUUUUUUGAUUUACUUGAACAAGAUGCUCUCUCAUCAGCCUGAUAAUUGCUCUUUUGGUUUCAAUAUGAUUGGUUUAAAGGGGGUAAUUUCCAAAUCAUAAAAACCAUUUGAUGACUGUGAUUAUGGCUAGUCUUACAUCUUUAUUAAGUUUUCAUUUAUCUGGAAUCAUCAACACAAGAUUUACAGAUUCAUGUCAACUUCUGAUUUUCUGAUUCUCUUUUCUUCCCUCUAAAUACACGAUUAUUUUGCUCCAUCGAUACAAUCAUUGUACAAUCAUCUUUAUGAAUCCAUACAAGUCAAAAUUGAUAAAAAUUUUGCUUGUUAACUAGUUCAAGGAUCUGUUUAUAAGCAAAGUUUGAAACGCAUAAACUUUCAUCUAGCUAAUAUUUCAAUCUUAGAUUAGAUCCUGGAUAAAUUUAUUGACAUUAUGAGGCUAUUAGUAAAUUGCAGUGGGCAAUUUGCUAGCAAUUUUCUCAACUUAGGGCCAAAGUUAUGAUAGACAAUGAUUGUAGAGGGAAAGAACGCGCUCAAGAGAGUGCUGCUUCAUCUACUUGGAAAUUAAUUUGUUUGGAUUGGACUUAAAAAAACAUUGGCAUGGUUGAUUGCCUUUGGGCACAUCAUCAGAGAAAUUAUUAAAUGACAGUGAUUUCUUUAGGUUGUUGAUAAGAUGAGCAAACUAACCAUGGUGAUCUUGUUAAAAGAAAAGAAUGAUAGCCAAAGGAAUAAGUCAGGAAAAUCUCAAAUUGGAAAAGGCAAUAAGUGCAAGGAGAAGAAAGAAAAAAAACAACAAAUCAACACAAAAAAAGCUGCGAUGAUAAGAAAAACAUUUUCAUUGGUGUUUAUAAUUGUUGGUGUCCAGCGAAAGGAAAACAAGCAUACACGGAUUACACAUUUAACAGCUUUAAGUUACAACAUGGUCGAUGAAAUUAUUUUGUUGUAACAAAAAUUACAUCCCCAAAAAGUAUUCUGAUGACGGUGAUUGCUGCUGACGAUAAAAGAUAAUGAUGAUGGCCAUGAUGGCCAUGAUGAUGAUAAUGAUGAUUUGAGAUCAGAGAAGGCGAAUGUUAGAGUAAAUUGAAAAGUGAAAACAAGCCCAAUUUAAAACAAUUUUCAACCUUGCUCUUCCUCCUCACUCAAUAACUUUCAGCCUAUUCAUUUUGUUUGCUUUUUUUCUUGAGAGAGCGAUUGAUAGGAUGGAUUGUUUGUUUACAUCCAUGAUGAAAAGAGAAUAAAAGGAUGAGAGAAAAUUGUGUGAGCCAUCAUCUCAAGUUGAUCUCUCAGAAGGGAUUUCAAUUUUCUUUGUGAGAAAUGAUAAACAGAGAGCAGAAAAGCAUAUUUUCUCAGACUAAAUCUUUCACAGAUUGGAAAGAAGAAAUGGAUUUAAGUAUUGGACGACAAGAUUGGAGUGAAAUAAUUCAAAGGACAUCAUCAGAAAUAUUAUCAAAAAAUAUCCAGAUAAACUCACAAGCUCUUUCUCUCACUCACACACAUGGUAAAGAAAGGAAUGGAAAUAGAAUGGAAAAUGUUGAUUGGAAAGAAAAGGAGAAAAAGAAAGGUGCAAGGAUGAAGUUAAUAUCUCUUGUUCAUGGCUUGAUCAGUUCAUCACAAUAGCAAUAAGAUGGUGAAAGAAGUGAUGAGGAUGAAAGCAAAAGAGGAGCGAUUUUUGCUUUUAACAAAAAAACUGUUGACUCGUCUUACAUGAAACAACAAAAAACCACAGUAACACCAAGGAUCAACAAUAAAAGCCCCAUAACAUCAACAGAAUCAUCAGCUAGCAACGUAAAUAUUUUCUCGGUGAUUUUUUUCUCGCUCUUUGUUCCUCAAACUUUAUUACUAAAGAAUUAAGUUUUCAAUGUAUGAAAAGGAAGGAAAAAAAGGAUUCAAAGAUUGAAUAGAUUAUCAUCCCAUGAACAAGUUACUUACGGUAACUGAUUAUUCUGGUUAAUAUACAAUUUUUCAGGUAGCUACUCUUGAUCUAUUAACUGGUAAUAAUCAAUUAAAUCCUUCACCAAGAGUUACAAUUUAGCUGUUUAUAAUUAAAUUAGCUAAAAUGUUUCCUCGUCAUAACCGGCUUUGAUAGUCUUUUUUUUAUCAAUAAACUCAAUCAUUGUUAUUCAGGGAUUCAUUCGUAAUAGGAAAUUGUAAAGAUGAUGAUGAAUUCAUUAUUUGCUUUUGAUAUUUUACCCUUUUCAAUUAAACAAACUCUACCUAAAUCAACAGUAAAUGUUGCUAUAAAUGUAAUUCCUGUUGCCACAGAAUAUAAUUAUUUAUAUAAAAAACGCAAGAUCUGAACGUGAUUCCGGAGUUAAAUGGAUAAUUGAGUCAAAUGAAAUCUUGGCUGUUCCCUGCUUGAAUCUGGAAAUAAUCAAAAGUUGAAAUUCUGAAAGCUCACAUGAUGAAUUAUGUAUUCGCUUUGGUUUUGAAUUUUACACUAUUUUUUUCUCAAUGGCCAGUCUAUUGGUCUGUUUAUUAUGCUGUUACAUGAAUAUUACUGAUUUGAUAUCCAACAAGUAAUGAAAGGCUAAACAAUUUAUUUUCCAAUCAAGGAAUAUGCAUUUGGAUGAACACGAAAAAGCCCAGUGAAAAGGUCAUCUUCAAUUAAUGGGAGCUUCUCAAGAUAUUCAACAGAAACCAAGCAGCCACAAUUGUCCAAUGAACCUUAAAGGCAAGAUAACUGUAAACAAGAUGAGAGAGUUGACCUUAACUGUUGACUGGCAAUAAUGCAGGCAGAGAGAGGCUUUAGCUGAUGUCAUAUUAAAUUAUGGUCUCAAUUUGUAUUCAAUUAAGUUACGCUUUUGGUUCUGGUCAACCAAAGUUACCAGGGAAACAUUAUCAAGAGUAACAGUGUCCAAUGAUGAUGAGUUUACUAAUGUGAAAUUGACCACAUUUUUUUGCACUCACAGUUUAACGUGUGCAUACAUCUUAACAACUCUAAGACCUCACGUGAAGUUAAUUUAAGGAUGCUCAUUUCACGUUAAGUUUCAUUGAGUCUUUGUAGUGGAUAAGAGGACUAAAGAUGCAAAGUGAAAGGGGCAAUUGGAGUGUCUUCGGUCAAGGGUGAAUAGUUCAUUUGAUAUGCUCUAUGAAACAACAAGGAAAAAAUUGGAGGCCAAAAAAGAAGGAGGAGAUGCUGAUAAUUCUUCUUGUCAUGGAGAAAAUGAAGUCUGAUGAUGAAGAAGAAAACAAAAAAAAACAUUGGACAAUGAAUAGAAGAUUAUUAAGACUCUCUUGUAAGUGUUUGGAGAGGUUAAAAGAGCAAAAGAGAUAUGUUGAAGAGAAGGAAAAAAGUAGAAGGAGAAGAAGAAGAAAAGGCUGAUGGUAAAAGCAAAAAAGGAACCCAAAAAAGAAAAGGCGAAACUUCAUUUGUUUCUUAUUACCAGACGAUUAAUCAAAAGGCGAUAAUAAAAUUGGUAAGCUGAACAAGCUCAUUGAAAGACAGCAAUCAAGCGUUCCUUUGAAUUGUCAGCUUCUAUGGACAGGAAAUGGAAAUGAGAUUUUACCAUGAAAAAUAUCAAUCAUUUAAAGAUGGUGAAAUGGAAGAAAGAUAAAAGAGAAGCGUCUAAAGGAAUGGGAAAAAAAGUUAUCAACAAUGAAACUGUUUCAUGUUUCAUGUUCCAUAUCAUUGAGAUACUUGUUAAUUUUGCGGUAAAUGCAAGUGUAUUUGAGUGAAUAUUAUACACUGGAAGAGACAUUGAAAAGACUGAACACUUUAUUGAAAUAAUAGCAGCAGCAGCAGUAGCUACAAUAACUACAGUAAGAUGGUGAUGA